rnacentral:rRNA from 1 species
UACAGAGGGUGCAAGCGUUGUUCGGAAUCACUGGGCGUAAAGCGCACGUAGGCGGCUUUCUAAGUCAGGGGUGAAAUCCUGGAGCUCAACUCCAGAACUGCCUUUGAUACUGGCGAUCUUGAGUCCGGGAGAGGUGAGUGGAACUGCGAGUGUAGAGGUGAAAUUCGUAGAUAUUCGGAAGAACACCAGUGGCGAAGGCGGCUCACUGGCCCGGUACUGACGCUGAGGUGCGAAAGCGUGGGGAGCAAACAGG